UACGUAGGGUGCAAGCGUUGUCCGGAAUUAUUGGGCGUAAAGGGUGCGUAGGCGGUUCCGCAAGUCCUGUGUGAAAUCUUCGGGCUCAACUCGAAGUCUGCACGGGAAACUGCGGGGCUUGAGUGUGGGAGAGGUGAGUGGAAUUCCCGGUGUAGCGGCGAAAUGCGUAGAUAUCGGGAGGAACACCUGUGGCGAAAGCGGCUCACUGGACCAUAACUGACGCUGAUGCACGAAAGCUGGGGGAGCAAACAGG
rnacentral:rRNA from 1 species